rnacentral:rRNA from 1 species
GAUGAACGCUGGCGGCGUACCUAAUACAUGCAAGUCGAGCGAACAGACGAGGAGCUUGCUCCUCUGACGUUAGCGGCGGACGGGUGAGUAACACGUGGAUAACCUACCUAUAAGACUGGGAUAACUUCGGGAAACCGGAGCUAAUACCGGAUAAUAUAUUGAACCGCAUGGUUCAAUAGUGAAAGACGGUUUUGCUGUCACUUAUAGAUGGAUCCGCGCCGCAUUAGCUAGUUGGUAAGGUAACGGCUUACCAAGGCGACGAUGCGUAGCCGACCUGAGAGGGGGAUCGGCCACACUGGAACUGAGACACGGUCCAGACUCCUACGGGAGGCAGCAGUAGGGAAUCUUCCGCAAUGGGCGAAAGCCUGACGGAGCAACGCCGCGUGAGUGAUGAAGGUCUUCGGAUCGUAAAACUCUGUUAUUAGGGAAGAACAAAUGUGUAAGUAACUAUGCACGUCUUGACGGUACCUAAUCAGAAAGCCACGGCUAACUACGUG